rnacentral:rRNA from 1 species
AGAGUUUGAUCCUGGCUCAGGACGAACGCUGGCGGCGUGCUUAACACAUGCAAGUCGAGCGAUGAGAUCACUUCGGUGAAGGAUUAGCGGCGAACGGGUGAGGAACACGUGAAGAAUCUGCCUUCAACUCUGGGAUAACUCCGGGAAACCGGGGCUAAUACCGGAUAUGAGCCUUGAUCGCAUGAUCGGGGCUGGAAAGUUUUUCGGUUGAAGAUGACUUCGCGGCCUAUCAGCUUGUUGGUGAGGUAAUGGCUCACCAAGGCGACGACGGGUAGCCGGCCUGAGAGGGCGACCGGCCACACUGGGACUGAGACACGGCCCAGACUCCUACGGGAGGCAGCAGUGGGGAAUAUUGGGCAAUGGACGAAAGUCUGACCCAGCGACGCCGCGUGCGGGAUGAAGGCCUUCGGGUUGUAAACCGCUUUCAGCAGGGAAUAAGCGCAAGUGAAGGUACCUGCAGAAGAAGCACCGGCUAACUAUGUGCCAGCAGCCGCGGUAAUACAUAGGGUGCAAGCGUUGUCCGGAAUUAUUGGGCGUAAAGAGCUCGUAGGUGGUUUGUUACGUCGGUUGUGAAAUUCAGGGGCUCAACCCCUGACUUGCAGCCGAUACGGGCAAGCUAGAGUUUGGUAGGGGAGACUGGAAUUCCUGGUGUAGCGGUGGAAUGCGCAGAUAUCAGGAGGAACACCGAUGGCGAAGGCAGGUCUCUGGGCCAAUACUGACACUGAGGAGCGAAAGCGUGGGGAGCGAACAGGAUUAGAUACCCUGGUAGUCCACGCCGUAAACGGUGGGCGCUAGUUGUGCGAACCUUCCACGGUUUGUGCGACGCAACUAACGCAUUAACGCCCCCCCUGGGGAG